GCUCAGCUAAAUCCAGAUAGUGUCUUGUCAUUUUAAAAUAGUGUUUUUUAUGUUUAUGUGCCUCUCAGAAAGAACUUCAGCAUAUUGCUCACCUGUGGAACACCCACAUCAUUCAGAGAAGCAGAAAUGCAGUUGCACCUAGUGGCCGGCCUCACAUGAUGUACAUGCUUCCUCAGCUUUUUGGGGAAAGGACCAUCUCAAACAUGCAUCUGUGCAAGCAGUACAAACAUGCAGAGCACAAUGCAUACAACGAGGACCUUACCCAUGUGAUGAGACUGCCAUCCACUGGAAGGAUAAGUCCCUAGUCUUAGGGUCACAGACAGUGGUCACUAGGGUUGGGCAUCGUUUGGAUUUUACCGAUGCCCGCCCCCCAAGCAAAGGCCACAGCCCCCCCACCAGCAUCCCGGGCUGACAGGAGACUCCCACGCCAAACCCAACGGGAGAGCAGGCGCAGGGCGAAGGCGGAGGAGGAGGGGAGGACGAGACAGGGGACAGAGAGCAAGAGGAAAGAGUGGCAGAGAAACAUGCAGGCCCCCAGCCCCAAGGGCCACCCAGACGUGCAUGGAGGAGGCAGGAGAGUAACACCAAACCACCCAGGGACCACGAGAGCACCUGAAAGGGAAGCACGCCCGCGCAGAGGCACCCAACACACCCCAGCAAGCCACCCAGAUGUGAUUGAUCCACUGAAGCAGAGGAUGAAUGCUGUAACCAUCACUGCUGUGUUACACAUGGACCAAAGUUUCCUCUCAGCCUGUUGUUAAUAGAAAUGAAACACUUUCUCAUCUGCUUUGCUUCAGUUCAUUUAGGGCCAACAUUGUUGAAUUGAUUGAUCACCACAUUUGACACUACACAGAUAUACAGUAUGUAUGAAUAACGUGCUUCAAGUAGAGAAAAUAAGACAUGAAAGCAUUAGAAAAUGAGUGUUUUUCCUCUUUUUUAAUGUAAUAUCUUUAUGUAGGUCAAACAGUCAAACAUUGUUUUGUGUUGUACAUGUGAGUGACAUAUAUAACAUUCUGUCAACUGGACCUUCCAUGCUGUGGUUGUUGGGUGGGUGGGGGGGUUCAUGUUUGUACAGACUGGUAAAGAGGGCUGAUCUGUGGUGGACACAGAGCUGGACUCUGGUGGCAGAAUGACAGACCCUGGAGAAGACUCCAUCCAUCCUGGAGAAGACAAAGCCCCCACUGCACUGGACCAUGAUCACACAGAACAGCUGUUUAGUCUCUGAGCUGCUCCACAAACACUCAGGAAGUAUGCAUCAUUAAUAAUAUUAUUAUCCACCGGUAUAUGUGAAGUUGCCCGUAGUAUUGUAGUUGUUGCUAAUGAAUUCAACCAGGACUCCAAGCUCCGAGUAUGCUUUACGACGACUGUGUCCUCUUGAACUAAAGUAUCCUCUUUACCUGUCCGUCACUAAUGUUAAAGUUGUGCCAACUGCAAAUCUUUAAUAUCUUUAUAUUCUAACUCGAAAAGUAAAAAUCAAUGAAUGGAUGAAUAUUCAGCGCUGUGGAUGACGCCAUUGUGAUGAACUCUGACCCGGAACCAGUCUCUGUGUUUAAAAAAAAAUAAAUAAAAAAUUAAGAGAUAAUCCCCA
ensembl:lncRNA